AAGAACCUAUUGGCGUAUGGUUACCGUAUAAUUCAUUUCUUUGAUCCGAAUGCUCAAGGAUGACCUAGAAUUUAACUGUCAAUCCUAGAUAAGUCAUCCAUAUUGUAUUUCAAUCUUUUUCAAAUCCAUCAUAUAGAUUAUCUGGAUCCAGAUUUUGCUAAAUUGAAAUACACUGAUAUAUAUCUCCUACUAAUUUGGAGGGGUAAAUCCUAUCUUGACUCAUGCACCAA
rnacentral:lncRNA from 1 species